rnacentral:rRNA from 1 species
GGGCAACCUACCUUAUAGUUUGGGAUAACUCCGGGAAACCGGGGCUAAUACCGAAUAAUCUGUUUCACCUCAUGGUGAAAUAUUGAAAGACGGUUUCGGCUGUCGCUAUAGGAUGGGCCCGCGGCGCAUUAGCUAGUUGGUGAGGUAACGGCUCACCAAGGCGACGAUGCGUAGCCGACCUGAGAGGGUGAUCGGCCACACUGGGACUGAGACACGGCCCAGACUCCUACGGGAGGCAGCAGUAGGGAAUCUUCCACAAUGGGCGAAAGCCUGAUGGAGCAACGCCGCGUGAGUGAAGAAGGAUUUCGGUUCGUAAAACUCUGUUGUAAGGGAAGAACAAGUACAGUAGUAACUGGCUGUACCUUGACGGUACCUUAUUAGAAAGCCACGGCUAACUACGUGCCAGCAGCCGCGGUAAUACGUAGGUGGCAAGCGUUGUCCGGAAUUAUUGGGCGUAAAGCGCGCGCAGGUGGUUUCUUAAGUCUGAUGUGAAAGCCCACGGCUCAACCGUGGAGGGUCAUUGGAAACUGGGAGACUUGAGUGCAGAAGAGGAUAGUGGAAUUCCAAGUGUAGCGGUGAAAUGCGUAGAGAUUUGGAGGAACACCAGUGGCGAAGGCGACUAUCUGGUCUGUAACUGACACUGAGGCGCGAAAGCGUGGGGAGCAAACAGGAUUA